UAUAGAUACUAUGAUUUCGCCUAUGCCGAAACCUGUAAGUCCAAUUCAUUUCCGAGCGACACCAGCAGGCCUGAGGUCAGGUUCAAAACAGUCUUGUUUACCGCAAUCGUCGUCAUGUUACCAAUGCAUAUAUAAACAAGAGCACUCAGAGAGCGCAAACAUCUCCCAAGGUAACACCAACGGGCGCUCAACGA
rnacentral:lncRNA from 1 species